rnacentral:snoRNA from 1 species
GGCUGAGUAAUGAUGAGCUUUUCAUGUCUCUUCUCUGACUAACACCUGAAGAGUCUGUCAAACAUUCUGAUUUCAGCC